rnacentral:lncRNA from 1 species
UCGGAUUAGCACUCUCUCUUUGUGACUCACAGUUGAUGUCUCAACAUAUAAGCUCUCAGCUACUGUUCCAACGCCAUGCCUGCCUGCCUGCUGCCAUGCUGCCUACCAUGAUGGGCACGGACUCACCCUCUGAAACCUGUUGGAUGGCACGAAUGGCCGAGGAAGCAUAUCAGAGCUUCCUGCUGUUCUUGGGUCUUCUCACGUGGCCUGUUGCUGCUUUGUUCUGGGACUGGACUAUCAGAAGCGAACACCGUCUUGAUGAAUGACUUUUAACUUACUUAAGACAAUCUCGCCAGCCUUCUCGGUGUGGAGAAUUCUUCCCUCACUACAGCCUUUGUACGCUGCGGGACUAGCAGAAUGAUCUACAGCCAACUGUUGCUGAGCACCAGACUGCAGAUGCAAUGUGACCAGCCUGCAGUGCUUCCUGUGCCAGGAUGGAGCAACCACAUCCUCAAACCGUGGGUCUAGAGCCUGCAGUGAUGAUGGGGUUGUUUCCCUGCCGGUGCUUGCUUCCUAUGAAAGCACACAGUAAAUCCUUUACUAGCUGCUGCAUUUGUGCCCGCCUCCUGUGGCACACGGCUAGUAGUAACCAUUUGUUUCCUUGC